GCAGAAUUUUCACACUGUCAAAACGUUCGCAUUGCCAACUAAGUCGAUGGCAAUCUCCUCUUUUUUUAUUUUAAUUAGUGUUUUUGACAAUUGUGAAUGUUUGUUAAGAAGAAAAUAUCUCUAACGGUCGCGAAAAAUGGUUGAAUUGUUUCCUGCGAAUUUCUUUUUUGGUUUUUUGACUACGUAUCGUGUUUUUACCAUUGUAAUUUAUAGCUUCCUGAAAUCAAUAAUAUUGUCGCGUUCGAAUCGAGUACAAAUUUGCAAUUCGUCCCUUCAAUUGCGUAGAGACAACGCUGCCGCGUGUCUUGUGUUAAGAAAUUGCUGUAGCGCCGGGAAGUUUUUUUUUUUAAUUUGUGUUAAUCUAUCUAGUUUCAACCUGUAAGCUUAAAAAUGUGUCCUUGAAUGAAUUCAAGGUGAAGUGUAUGAAUUUUAUGGCCAGCUGUAUUGCAUCCAAGUCCUUUGUAAAAUCGUGCAUCGUGUGUGCAUACUAUCAAAUAUAAGUGUCCCGGAAUCGUAUGGUAGGAAAUUCAAACGGCGUCGUGGACAAUAAAAAUGCAUGGUGCCAAAAGAAAUGCCAACGCAAUUAAAUACCAACAACUCUUACAAAAUCACCUGGUCCCUUCAAUUGAAGAGCACUUUUCCCAUAAUUUUUCAGGAUGAUUUUGCAACCUCCU